AGGGGAGGGGUCGGCGCGGGCCCGCGCGGCGGCGGGAGCGCGCUUGGCGGCAGCUGGUGGCCCGGCGGGGCACCGCCACCCUCGGCUGCACCGCGCCGGCCAUGGAUCCCUUCCCCAAGGACGGCGAGAGCGCGGCGGGCGCGGAGCCCAGCCGGGGCGCGGCCCCCUCCAGCGGGGUGGUGGUGCAGGUCCGGGAGAAGAAGGGCCCCCUGCGCGCCGCCAUCCCCUACAUGCCGUUCCCCGUGGCUGUCAUCUGCCUCUUCCUCAACACCUUCGUGCCGGGGCUGGGAACGUUUGUAUCCGCUUUCACCGUGCUGUGCGGAGCCCGGACUGACCUCCCCGACAGGCACAUGUGUUGUGUGUUCUGGCUGAACAUUGCUGCUGCUCUGAUUCAGAUCCUGACUGCGAUCGUGAUGGUUGGCUGGAUUAUGAGUAUAUUUUGGGGGAUGGACAUGGUCAUUCUCGCAACAGAGCGGAGGUGCAGAGCAGCCGACAGAGACUUGCACUGAUCCCAUUGAGCAGCAGAGAUGGGGCAAGCACGGCGUGGGGUAGAACGUAGCACACGAUGGACGACUGAUGUGGAGGAGAAGGAUGGUACCAGGAGAAGGAAACACCCUUGGCAAAGGGGCUGGAGGUGCUGCUUUCUCUCUCCUCCCAGGAGGAAGUAGCUGAAGAUGUUUUGCCUCCUUUUUAUGCUCACUGUUAAAGGAAACUGGCUGCAGACAUCAAAAGCCAAGGAGCUGUUAAGAGAUAAUGUCUACAGUAUAUAAAAGCAAACCAGUUGUACUCCCCCACCCUGAGAGUCCAUCCUUGACUGCUUCGUGGUAGCAGAGGGCUCAGCCCAGCCUCCCCUGCUCACUGUGUGUAUAUGAUGCUCAGUGAAGCUCUGUCUGUGCAGAUGUCUUGAGAAACGUGCUUGCUGUAAAUCAUGCUGUACUGAUGAAGGGACUGAGGCCAUCCCCUGCUUCCAUCCACUGGCACUAUGUGAUGACCAGACCUCCCACCAGCCCCAGGGGGCCUUUAUCUAGCAAGGGACCUUGCCAAAGGCUUCUAUUGUAGAACAGUACUGGGGGAGCCAAGAAAGACUUUUUCUCCCCUCCCUCUGAAAGAGACUUGGUGGCAGUGUCUCCAUGCUUUGGAAACAGAUCCCAUCACAGCCCAGCAUGUGUUCCUGGCUGAAGCGGCAUCCCUGCUCUGCUUCUCCAAGGGCCAAAUUCACCACCCAGCGCUUUCAUGCCUCUUUCUGGAGCACCAUAGGGAAAGGUCACCUCCUCCAGGACACCCACCAACACCGGAUAACUCGCCUCCCACUUGCAGGAGCCCUGCCAUGACCUCCCACCAGUGCCACAUCACCACCACCACCAACCAGCCCCUGUCUCCUUGCUGGCACAGCAAGAGGUCACAGCCUGUGAACGCUUGGUCUGGCUGAAGGCACCCGGCAAUCGCAGCAGCAUCAUCUGCUUUAUAAAUAUAGAUGUUUUCGAUGCAAGUUUUACAGCUAAAAAGAGUGAUAGUGGGUAAUGAAGAAUAAAUGCAGUUGCUUCACCCCCGUCUGCCAACAGCACAGUGUUUUCUGCUGCUCUUUCCCAAUUGUGAAAGCCUCAAAAGAAAAGAA